rnacentral:lncRNA from 1 species
GUUGGCCACGGCAUCACUGAGGCUGCUUGCUCUUUGCUGUUGGUGGCUGAUUCCACUGAAGAGACGUUAAAUUACAUGUUAAUUCUGUGACUCCUCCUUUGAAAGAGUUGUUUACAGAAGAAAGAGCUCUGUCUAAAAAGAGAUGGCUCCAGGGCGUAAAGUGGUUUUAUCUAGUGAUGUAUCUUCUCAUUUGAUUCCUGUUUUAGUAAAGUCCUGAUUUUGCCUCU